UACGUAGGGUGCGAGCGUUAAUCGGAAUUACUGGGCGUAAAGCGUGCGCAGGCGGCCAAUUAAGUCUGCUGUGAAAGCCCCGGGCUUAACCUGGGAACUGCGGUAGAAACUGGAUGGCUGGAGUGCGGCAGAGGGGGGUGGAAUUCCACGUGUAGCAGUGAAAUGCGUAGAGAUGUGGAGGAACACCGAUGGCGAAGGCAGCCCCCUGGGCCGACACUGACGCUCAGGCACGAAAGCGUGGGGAGCAAAC
rnacentral:rRNA from 1 species